UACGGAGGAUGCAAGCGUUAUCCGGAAUGAUUGGGCGUAAAGCGUCCGCAGGUGGCAAUGUAAGUCUGCUGUUAAAGAGUCUAGCUCAACUAGAUAAAAGCAGUGGAAACUACAUAGCUAGAGUACGUUCGGGGCAGAGGGAAUUCCUGGUGUAGCGGUAAAAUGCGUAGAGAUCAGGAAGAACACCAGUGGCGAAGGCGCUCUGCUAGGCCGUAACUGACACUGAGGGACGAAAAGCUAGGGGAGCGAAUGGG
rnacentral:rRNA from 1 species